rnacentral:lncRNA from 1 species
AACCAACAAACCAGAUCACAAGGUACCAAAGGUACCAAGUAAGCAAAAACAGAAUGAAAAAAAGAAGGGCAAAAGAAAAAUUCCCAAGCAAAACAACCUCACGAAAUACCCCAAAACUCUCGGACACCUCAAUCUUCAAUCUGCAGCUGACCAAAGGAGCGAAAGAUCAAAAGAAGGGGUUGAUCGGGAUCAGCGGCUGAAACACAAUCUUUAGGUGUCAAAACCUCUCUUGCUGCAGUAAACCAACU